rnacentral:snoRNA from 1 species
UGCCAAUGAUGGUUAAGAAUUUCUUCACCUGAAUAAACUGUGUGGUCAACAUUGCAUCUGAGGCAA